rnacentral:rRNA from 1 species
AGUGAACGCUGGCGGUAGGCCUAACACAUGCAAGUCGAACGGCAGCACAGUAAGAGCUUGCUCUUACGGGUGGCGAGUGGCGGACGGGUGAGGAAUACAUCGGAAUCUACUUUUUCGUGGGGGAUAACGUAGGGAAACUUACGCUAAUACCGCAUACGACCUACGGGUGAAAGCAGGGGUUCUUCGGACCUUGCGCGAUUGCAUGAGCCGAUGUCGGAUUAGCUAGUUGGCGGGGUAAAGGCCCACCAAGGCGACGAUCCGUAGCUGGUCUGAGAGGAUGAUCAGCCACACUGGAACGGAGACACGGUACAGACUGCUACGGGGGGCAGCAGUGGGGAAUAUUGGACAAUGGGCGCAAGCCUGAUCCAGCCAUACCGCGUGGGUGAAGAAGGCCUUCGGGUUGUAAAGCCCUUUUGUUGGGAAAGAAAAGCAGCAGGUUAAUACCCCGCUGUUCUGACGGUACCCAAAGAAUAAGCACCGGCUAACUUCGUG